rnacentral:rRNA from 1 species
AACCUCCUACGGGACGCAGCAGUGGGGAAUAUUGGGCAAUGGGCGCAAGCCUGACCCAGCAACGCCGCGUGAAGGAAGAAGGCUUUCGGGUCGUAAACUUCUUUUGACAGGGAAGAGUAGAAGACGGUACCCGUCGAAUAAGCCACGGCUAACUACGUGCCAGCAGCCGCGGUAAUACGUAGGUGGCAAGCGUUGUCCGGAUUUACUGGGUGUAAAGGGCGUGUAGCCGGGUUGACAAGUCAGAUGUGAAAUCCUGCGGCUUAACCGCAGAACCGCAUUUGAAACUGUUGAUCUUGAGUACUGGA